AUUUGGCGGAGAGGUCGUCCUCUUUGGAGAUGCUAAGUUGGCUACCCAGAUGUUCGAAUUUUUUGACAUUUUCCCCUCAAUCUCGCUCUUUCUUUCGUUUGGAAGUUGAGCGCUAAAGAUGAUCAGAUCGCCCUGAAUGGCUGUGAUUGUUGAAGAUACGAUAACACGCGCUUGUAAUCAACGCUUUCGAUGUCGGCGACUUUCGCACCGCUUCCUCCCUCUU